rnacentral:rRNA from 1 species
AAUUGAAGAGUUUGAUCAUGGCUCAGAUUGAACGCUGGCGGCAGGCCUAACACAUGCAAGUCGAGCGGAAACGGCAGUAUUGAAGCUUCGGUGGAUUUAUUGGACGUCGAGCGGCGGACGGGUGAGUAACGGCUGGGAACCUGCCCUGACGAGGGGGAUAACCGUUGGAAACGACGGCUAAUACCGCAUAAUGUCUUAGUUCAUUACGAGCUGGGACCAAAGGUGGCCUCUACAUAUAAGCUAUCGCGUUGGGAUGGGCCCAGUUAGGAUUAGCUAGUUGGUAAGGUAAUGGCUUACCAAGGCAACGAUCCUUAGCUGGUUUGAGAGGAUGAUCA